rnacentral:lncRNA from 13 species
GCUUCCACGAAGAGUGUGGAAGGGGACCCAAGUAUGGAAUCCAGGAGAGGAAAAGCAGCUUCCACGAGAGUGGAAGGGGACCCCAGAAGGGGAAGUCCACCCGGAUGAGGGAGACCUGGACUUCUAACCUGCGAAAAUUAAAACACAAACCGCUAAAUCACCCGGAUGGAGAGGCAUGGGAGGGAGGCAUGGCGCUGGGAAGUUCUUUCCCUUAAAACUACGCCCUCUGUGGACCCGUGUGGAGCUACUGAGAUGACUAAAACAGCUGCUGUCCUCAAAGAACUCAAAGCUUAGUGGGAAGACAGAAACAACAUUAAUACAAUAAAACUAAAGAGGUUAGCA